GGGAUGAGCUCCGGCACUGGAGAAAUGUCAGUGGGCUGAUGCGCCGAGCUUCCAGGAUGUCCUUCUGAGUGUAACAGACACACCUGGAUUGUGUGACACCCAUCGAAGCGAAGAUGAAAUUUUUCUAGAAGUGGGCAAAAGUAUUGCUGUGGCCUGCCCGGGACCACAUGCUGUUCUCAUCGUACUGCGAUGUGAUCGCCGAUUCACUCAGGAGGAGUAUAUCGAUGCUGUUCAGACGCUGAAGUCUUUGUUUGGAGAAAAACUCCCCACACAUCUGAUCAUAGUCUUUGU